rnacentral:rRNA from 1 species
GACGAACGCUGGCGGCGUGCUUAACACAUGCAAGUCGAACGGAAAGGCCCUGCUUUUGUGGGGUGCUCGAGUGGCGAACGGGUGAGUAACACGUGAGUAACCUGCCCUUGACUUUGGGAUAACUUCAGGAAACUGGGGCUAAUACCGGAUAGGAGCUCCUGCUGCAUGGUGGGGGUUGGAAAGUUUCGGCGGUUGGGGAUGGACUCGCGGCUUAUCAGCUUGUUGGUGGGGUAGUGGCUUACCAAGGCUUUGACGGGUAGCCGGCCUGAGAGGGUGGCCGGCCACAAUGGGACUGAGAUACGGCCCAGACUCCUACGGGAGGCAGCAGUGGGGAGUAUUGCACAAUGGGCGGAAGUCUGAUGCAGCAACGCCGCGUGCGGGAUGACGGCCUUCGGGUUGUAAACCGCUUUCGCCUGUGACGAAGCGUGAGUGACGGUAAUGGGUAAAGAAGCACCGGCUAACUACGUG